CAGAAGACACUUGCUGUGAAAACGGAAAUGGAUGUUGAAUUCUGAAGAAAAGCUUAUUUUAGUGAUCUUUGCAGAAUGUUGUCCACUAAGCUAAUGAUGGGGAUUGUAGCACUACCCUGCACACAGACAUGGAAUUGAUCUGCCUAGUCCAUUAUCAGAAGAGUGACCAGGACUGUUCCUCCCAUCAGAGAAGUUUCUUGAGAAGCAUUACAAGGGACUUGUCUGAAUGGGCAGAAGAAAUGUUUUAACUGACUAUCCCAUCAUUGUCAGCUGUUGGAGACUGAACAAUUUACUGAAAUCAGUGCUGGGGUGUAGCAGUCAGUGGGUGUCCUCAUUUGCCCCAAGAAGAGUCAGAGAACUCCCUGGGCCUCAUGAGAUUGUGACACCGUGCAGUAGGAGCAGUUUCUACUGGUAUCUCUUAAAAGCAGACAGAGAUUUUCUUAUCAUCUGAUCCAUUUCUGGAGACAAACUUUUGUAUGGAGCUGGGUAGCAGUUACUUGAGAUGUCCGGCUGAUGGAUGAAGAUAGUUUCCCUGAGACUCUAACAUUUUGUAGAACUUGGAUAGCUCUAUUCAGUAUUGCUGUAGAAAAUGUCAGGACGGUGGAGAUUUAGAUAAGUGGUGUGAUGUUAUUGAUGGUCAACAGAAGACUGUGACCUUGAAUCUGAAGAUCUGUGAUGAAGACUGGACGUUUGGGGUCACUCUCUGUUACAGUACUACAAAUCUAACAGUGUCUAACUCAGCCACAAAGAGGUUGUCUCUGAUGUCCACACAUAAACCGUAUGGACGUUCUAAAUGACAGUGAAUGUAACGGAGGAACUGUCCGUCCUGAUCUAGGAUGUGGAUACGGUGAUUGUUACAGUCUGCUGUCAGGAUGUGACUCUGGCUGUCUGUAGUGAUGCCGUGUGGAUCAAAUGAUUGCUUGGUAUUAGAGGGAUGACCAGUGUAUCUAAAUCGGAGUUUUCCUGACUGAUUGACCACCACUACUGCACUAGCGUCACAGUCAGCCACACAGAUAUCCAGGUUCUUGUUCUCACUGAGGUAUUUAUAGAAACCAUCAGAUGAGUAGAGAGGACGACCCUGAUCAUCAAACUGAAUGCUUUGUUUCUCUGUGGAGCCGGAGUAACGCACGACUUUGGAUUGUGUGAAAUCAUCACUGAUCAUGGUAACCAGGAGGUCGUUAGCCGCGGUACAGCAGACAAAGCGAGGUCUCCACCCCUGUAGUGUGAUCACGAAUGAGUUGAGUGGAAUAAUGAACCUCCAGAUGUCUAUGUACACGUGUAUGAAUAAACUGUUGUACUCGCGCGUGCGAGCUUAUCCUAUA